GAGAAGACCACCCAGCUCCUCUUCCGAGGGGCCCAGGCCUACAUGGACCACGCGUGGGAGGAGGGCUGUGCCACCGUUGACCUGCCGGAAUCCCCGAAGCCCGGCCCCACGGAAGCCCCUCGGGCCUCGCGGGGGCAGAUGCUCAUCGGGCCCGACGGCCGACUGACCAGGAGCCGAGCCCAGGCCUCUGAAGCUGAGCCGGCCGGGGCCGCGUCGGGGGCCUGCUCGUCGUGCGUGCGUGCCGCGGACGGGAAGGCGGCGUGUGGCCAGUGUGAGCGAGCCCUGUGCGGGCGCUGCGUGCACACCUGCUGCAGCUGCGGGGCCCUGGCCUGCCCCCUGUGCGCCGUCGUGGACAGUAAAUGCUUCCGCCAGCCGGAGCUUUUCCUGAAGGCCCCGGGACCCUUGCUGAGGCAAUCCAGCCCCCGCAGCUUGCCCACCCCGCCCCGCUGCGGUCUAUCCGCCCCCUUGGUGCUCCGGUGCUCUAGGGCCUUGAGUUAGGAUGUCUCACCUGGCCUCUCGGUGUCGUUGGCUCACUCCUUGGUAGCCGACACCUGUCGGGUGAGGGCGGGAGAUGAGCGUUUGUAACCUGAGCUCGUGUCUGCUGCAGGUGGUGGGUCCAGCCUUGCUCAGGAGGUGCCGGGCACUGGCCGGUCCAGCGUCCACUCCACGGACAGGUGUGGCUGGGCUGUGCCCUCUAAGGAAGGUUCUGCACGCUUCAAACUAAUUUAGUCCCGGGGUCUUCUGUUUUUCUACUUUUUUGAAAUCAGAGCACAGUCCGUUUACAAUGUGCCGACCGAGCAAAGCGACCCAGGCCCACAUCGACACGUGCUCGCUUGUCCCCAGCACGCUCGAUCCCAGAAGGUUGGACACAGUUCCCUGUGCGCACAGUAGGCCCAGGGGUCUUUAAAACCAACCAGGGGGUUCCCUGGUGGUCUGGCAGGUUAAAGAUCUCGCAUGGUGGCUGCUGUGGCACAGGUUCCCUCCCUGGCCAGGAACUUCCUCCCACCGCAGGUGUGGCCACAGAUAAGUGCAGACAUAAACGUCACACUAACUAGGAAGAGUUAAAAACAUACCUCCCAGGUGGGGGCAGGGCAGGGUGGGUGGCGCUGGCGAGGACUGGCCACCCUGUGCCCUUGGUUUGAGGACUAAGACGGCGGGUGGGUGGCGAAUGUGGACUCUGUUUUGUGUUCGCCAGCUUAAAUCUUCUCUUCCUGCUUCCGUGUUAAGUGAGGAGGCAGGGCCUGGCCAGUGGCCUUUCUCUGGAGCAGGGCUGCCCACAGCACCGGGCACCCCGCGGGUCCUGGACCAGGCGCUGCUGGAGCCUCUGCAUCCCAAAAGCGCCUCCCUCCCCAGGGCGGGUCCUGGGGGCUUCGCUGGUCUCCUCCCUCCUCCCCAAACACCAGCUGCGCCAGGGCAGGGGCUUUGUCCCCGCUGAUAAGCAGGUGACUUGCUCCAGGCCACCGCCCUAUCGGUCCCCCCGCACCCCCCACCUGCAGCCCGGGGUGGGGCUGGCAGGAGCUGGGGCCGGGACUUGGGGCCCUAAGCGCCCGGCGGCACCAGGCGCUGACUGCCCCGCAGACCUGUCUGGACGCGGAGCACGUGGCCAGCGCCCUGCCUCUCAGGCUCUCCUGCCGGAUCCCCCGUGUCUGCUGACUUGCGGGUCCUCGCCCUCCCUGUCCUGCUCCCACCGUGGCCCCGGGGGCGGGAAAUCCUCGCCACGCCCCUCGGGGGGCAGCUUCGGGACCAGACCUCAGGCCCACAGGCGGGGCCGGGGACGGGGCUGGUUCGCGCCGCUCUCCAUGGAUGCCGAGCUUCGGCCUCUGCCUGGGCUCUCGGCACCUUCCCUCAGGUCGCGAGUCCACCCGCCUUGUGGGCCGAGGAGGUGAGGGCCAGGAUCAGUGCCUCGGCACGUCGCCCAGGGGCACACAAGGCGGCGCUGACACCAGCUCCCCGCCCCCUCCCCACAGCUGCAGCAACAUUCAGGAGAAAGUGCUGUGUGCCAGCUGUGCCGUGUUCGAGACCUGAGGCAGGAGUGGACAGCGGCCUUGCCUGGACAACCCCGCUGGUGUGGACGCUGGGACCCGUGUGGUGGGCGGGAGGGGGCCUUUCUAGUCCGUAUUUUGUGCUCCUGACAACAGGAGUGAAUAAACCGUUUAUGUUUGGACGCGGGGACUCCCUGGGGCCUGUGGGGAGCAGUUGGUGAGCUCUGCCAGGUGCCACCCCAUCGCCCUGCGGCCGGCGGGGGGGCCGGGGCCCCGUCCAGGCCGACCCUGAAAUGCCACCAAAACACCUCGACGGGAGGUCGGGGCCCCGCCUGACCUGCCAGUCGGUUCCUUGGAAUGCUGGCCGGCUGGGCAACGGCCUUGCUCACCUGGGGGAGGUGCGGUGUGUGGUCCAGGGAGGGGACGGGCCUGGAGGGAGAGUCGCAGGCCGGCCGGCUGUGCUUGGAGCCUCCCCUCCAGGCACUUGGGUCCCGGCUCCCACACCAGGGUCCCUGCAGGGCCGCCUCAGCGCAGUAGGCCCUGCCCCCUGAGGAACCCUGGGCCACAGAAUAGGGCGGGAGUGACACGGGGCUGGCCAGCUUGGAGGGUCCCUGACGCCAAAGAGGCUGGGCCCAUGUGGGGCACAGGCUGCUGAGGCAGGGGUGAGAGAGCAUGCGGGGUCACUGCAUGUGAGCGGAGGUUGCAGGUGCAUGUUCCUGAGCAAGGGCGUGGGACACUCUGGGGCCGCCUCGGCCUCGCCCCGUGAGGCCGUGGCUGGUGGGUGUCUGUGCCACUGGCACUGGACUUGGAGAGCCCACCGUUGGCCGUCCUCACGGGGGCCACCUGGCUUCCUGCAGAGGCCCUGGGCCUCCAGCAGUGUCCAGCGUCUGAUCGUUAGGGAGAUGCGGGUCCGUGUCACAGGAGAGGCCACCUCACACCCAUCAGGACGGCUGCGGUGUAAACAGCAGCAGACCCCAGGCGCUGGCGAGGGUGUGGGGAGCUGGCAGCCUGUGCCCUGGCGCCAGGGCUGUGAGAUGCCGCGGCCCUGGUGGGAGGCGGUGAAGCAGUUCCUCAGAAAACUGCGGGGGGAUCUCAGCGACGCUGCAGUCCCCCUGGGGUGUCCACGGCCACGCACAGCGGCGGUCCCAGGAGGGAAGGUGUGGCGACAAACCCGUGUCCUGUGGGCUGACCUCGAGACAGCAGCCAGCGACGGCUUCCAGUGGGGUCUUUUCUUUCUUUUUUCUUCUUUUUUUUUUUCCUGGCUGCACCCACAGCAUGUGGAAGUUCCCCGGCCAGGAAACUUCGUCACAGCUGCAGCAACGCGGGGUCCUUACCCCUGUGCCACCGCAGGAACCGCCUUGAAGUGAUGUCUGGAUUCUCUGCUCAGGACUUGAACCUGGGCAGCCUGGGUGAAAGCCAGGGACGCCACCGCUAGACCAGCUGGAGGCAAGAGCAGAAUCGCCCUGAUUCUCGCCCCUGGUGAAAACAGUGUUUCCCGGAGGCCGAGCCUGCAGACAGGUCAAGGGUUAUCGUAGAGACAGCGCAGCGAGCGGGAGAGCGUGGAGAAGCGGCUUACUGUAGACACGAGCAGAGCAGGAGGACCCACCCGAAGGAGGAGUGCGGGUGUGGGUGUCCCCCGAGCGAGGCGCGCGCCAGACAGGUGACCUGAGGUGCUCACGCGGCGCGGCUCUCCGGCCCCUGCCCUCCUCUGGCCGCUUCUCCUGUGUCUCCCACCAGACCGGGUCCAGGGCCCUCCCCGAUAGGCGUGCGCAUCUUUUGGCCGAGACGAUUCCAGAGCAGAGGGUUCUGGCGCCCCUCGCCUCCGAUCCCGGGAGUCUCUGUGCAUGUGGAGUCGGGGAAUCGCCGCCACCCCGGGAGUGAUUGACGUGGUCAUUGCUGUCACUCCAGCAGAGCUCAGCUCCUGCCACUAACUUCCUCCUCGAGGCGUCAAAGAGAAGCCGGGCCCAGCGGUUCCAAGCCCAGGGGCGCAUCUACCUCCCACCUCGCGUCUGCACAGCGCAAUAUUAUUCAGCCCUAAAAAGGAAGGAGCUCCUGGCACGGGCUACAGCACGGAUGGCCCUGUGGACACCUCACUGAGUGCAGUGGCCCAGUCACAAAGUAACAGACCCUAUGUGACUCCGCUUCCGUGAGGCCCCUGGAGACAGUGGAAGGUGGGGGCCGGGAGGCUGGGGCUGGGUGUCAGCUUUUGAUGAAGAGCUCCGGAUGAGAGGCACGACCACCCGGAUGUACUUAGCGCAGCCAAGUGGGGCUCCCGUGUGCCUCAGCCAGUUAAGAACCCAGCACAGUGUCCAUGACAGUGUGGGUUCGAUCCCUGGCCUCGCCCAGUGGGUUAAGGAUCCGGCGUUGCCAUGAGCUGUGGUGUAGGUCACAGACACAGCUUGGAUCUGGUGUUGCUGUGGCUGUGGCGUAGGCUGGAGGCUACAGCUCCAAUUUGACCCCUAGCCUGGGAACCUCCAUAGGCCACGGGAGCGGCCCUAAAACAGCAAAACAGAAAAGUCACUUGGAGCAUAAAGAUGCAAGCGAAUUGAAAGUGAAAGGACGGACUUGGCUGGACGCCGACCCAUCUUUGAGCAGCCUUCCCUGGGGGGGCGGCUACCUGAGGCAGGCCCUCCCUCCGCCACCGCGAUGCCCCAGCCGGACACCCGGCCUGAAGCCCCAGACCCCCAUCUGCAGCACCCAGUCAGAGCCUCUCCGCAUACCUGCCGAAACGUGGGCGCUCCAGGUGCUGAAGGCACUUCUGCUCCUGGCUUCCUCUCCUCUGGAGGCUGGCCUGGUGCGGGGAAGGGCAGGGCGGGAUGGGAGGGCGUUGCCGCCUCCAUGCAUGCCAGGCUGCGGGACUGCAGCUCUGCUGGUCCUCACUGUCCCAGGCCACAACUCACCAGGCCCCUCCGGGCCUGCCCUGGCCCCGGAGUUCUCUCCCCGAGGAGCCGGCUCCCUGCCUGGGCUGCUGCAGGUGCCUGCAGGGACUGCCCCCACCUCCUGGAAGGUCAGGGCAUUCUCUGGGUGUCCACCCUUCGCUCAUUUCCUCCUGGCCUCCUGGUUGUGUUUGUGUCCAGGCUCAUGACCUUGAGCCUGUCCCAGGCCACAGGAAUGCCCUUAAGGCCAUCUCCCAGUCAGCCCCAACCCCCAGCCACCCCAUCCCCAAAUCAUCCGUCAUCCCCCAGUCACCCCAACCUCAUCCCCCAAGGGGGUCCUUUGGGAAGAAGAGCUGGUGCCCCUCUCCCUGGCAGGCUGGGCCCCUGAUCCUCGGCUCCAGCUUGAGCCACCUCCCGGUUUUUCACACCACGCCUGCCACUUUGGGGCACCAUUUGCUCAAAGUUUGAGGAUAAUGGGAGGCUACUGCUGUAUUUUCUGGUUUCUGAAAUAUACAUUUUUCUUUUUUAUUGUGUUAAAAUACACGUCACAGGAGUUCCCGCUGCAGCUCAGUGGUUAUCAAACCCAACUGGCAUCCAUGAGGACUGGAGUUCAGUCCCUGGCCUCGCUCAGUGGUGUAGGUUGCAGGUGUGGCUGGGAGCUUGCAUGGCUGUGGCUGUGGCCUCGGCCGGCCGGUGGCUACAGCUCUGAUUGGACCCCUAGCCUGGGGACCUCCCUGUGCUG
rnacentral:lncRNA from 1 species